rnacentral:rRNA from 1 species
GACGAACGCUGGCGGCGUGCUUAACACAUGCAAGUCGAACGGAAAGGCCCUGCUUUUGUGGGGUGCUCGAGUGGCGAACGGGUGAGUAACACGUGAGUAACCUGCCCUUGACUUUGGGAUAUCUUCAGGAAACUGGGGCUAAUACCGGAUAGGAGCUCCUGCUGCAUGGUGGGGGUUGGAAAGUUUCGGCGGUUGGGGAUGGACUCGCGGCUUAUCAGCUUGUUGGUGGGGGAGUGGCUUACCAAGGCUUUGACGGAUAGCCGGCCUGGGAGGGUGACCGGCCACAUUGGGACUGAGAGACGGCCCAGACUGCUACGGGAGGCAGGAGGGGGGAGUAUAGCACAGAGAGCGGAAGCCAGAGGGAGCAACGCCGCGUGCGGGAUGACGGCCUUCGGGUGGUAAACAGAUUUCGCCUGUGACGAAGCGUGAGUGACGGUAAUGAGUAAAGAAGCACCGGCUAGCUACGU